rnacentral:tRNA from 1 species
GUUUAAGUAGUGUAUAAGCACAUAUAAUUUUCAUUUAUAUAGAAAACUUUUGGUUUCUUAAAUU